rnacentral:rRNA from 1 species
UACGUAGGGGGCAAGCGUUGUCCGGAAUCAUUGGGCGUAAAGAGCGUGUAGGCGGCCCGAUAAGUCCGCUGUGAAAGUCGGGGGCUCAACCCUCGAAUGCCGGUGGAUACUGUCGGGCUAGAGUGCGGAAGAGGCGAGUGGAAUUCCUGGUGUAGCGGUGAAAUGCGCAGAUAUCAGGAGGAACACCUAUUGCGAAGGCAGCUCGCUGGGACGUAACUGACGCUGAGACGCGAAAGCGUGGGGAGCAAACAGG